UAGAAACUUUAGGGGUGCUGUAAUGGCUGAGAAUUACCCUUAGAACCUGAAACCGAUAAUGCGGGCGAUAGGGAAAAGUGUUACAUAGCUC
rnacentral:ncRNA from 2 species